AUUGAACGCUGGCGGCAUGCUUUACACAUGCAAGUCGAACGGCAGCGCGGGCUUCGGCCUGGCGGCGAGUGGCGAACGGGUGAGUAAUACAUCGGAACGUGCCCAGUAGUGGGGGAUAGCUCGGCGAAAGCCGGAUUAAUACCGCAUACGACCCGAGGGUGAAAGCGGGGGAUCUUCGGACCUCGCGCUAUUGGAGCGGCCGAUGGCAGAUUAGCUAGUUGGUGGGGUAAAGGCCUACCAAGGCGACGAUCUGUAGCUGGUCUGAGAGGACGACCAGCCACACUGGGACUGAGACACGGCCCAGACUCCUACGGGAGGCAGCAGUGGGGAAUUUUGGACAAUGGGCGAAAGCCUGAUCCAGCAAUGCCGCGUGUGUGAUGAAGGCCUUCGGGUGGUAAAGCACUUUUGGCGGGAACGAAAAGGACUGUGCCAAUACCACGGUUCGAUGACGGUACCCGCAGAAUAAGCACCGGCUAACUACGUG
rnacentral:rRNA from 1 species